GAUGAACGCUAGCGGCAGGCUUAAUACAUGCAAGUCGAGGGGUAGCAAGAUUGUAGCAAUACAAUUGUUGGCGACCGGCAAACGGGUGCGGAACACGUACACAACCUUCCUACAAGUGGGGAAUAGCCCAGAGAAAUUUGGAUUAAUACCCCGUAACAUAGCGAUGUGGCAUCACAUUGCUAUUAUAGCUUCGGCGCUUGUUGAUGGGUGUGCGGCUGAUUAGAUAGUUGGCGGGGUAACGGCCCACCAAGUCUACGAUCAGUAGCUGAUGCUAGAGCAGGAUCAGCCACACGGGCACUGAUACACGGGCCAGACUCCUACGGGAGGCAGCAGUAAGGUAUAUUGGACAAUGGACGCAAGUCUGAGCCAGCCAUGCCGCGUGAAGGAUUAAGGUCCUCUGGAUUGUAAACUUCUUUUAUAAGGGACGAAAAAAGGUCUUUCUAGAUCGUCUGACGGUACCUUAUGAAUAAGCACCGGCUAACUCCGUGCCAGCCGCCGCCGUAACAC
rnacentral:rRNA from 1 species